GACGAACGCUGGCGGCGUGCUUAACACAUGCAAGUCGAACGGAAAGGCCCUGCUUUUGUGGGGUGCUCGAGUGGCGAACGGGUGAGUAACACGUGAGUAACCUGCCCUUGACUUUGGGAUAACUUCAGGAAACUGGGGCUAAUACCGGAUAGGAUCUCCUGCUGCAUGGUGGGGGUUGGAAAGUUUCGGCGGUUGGGGAUGGACUCGCGGCUUAUCAGCUUGCUGGUUGGGUAGUGGCUUACCAAGGCAUUGACGGGUAGCCGGCCUGAGAGGGUGACCGGCCACAUUGGGACUGAGAUACGGACCAGACUCGUACGGGAGGCAGCAGUGGGGAAUAUUACACAAUGGGAGGGAGCCUGAUGCAGCAACGCCGCGUGCGGGAUGACGGCCUUCGGGUUGUAAACCGCUUUCGCCUGUGACGAAGCGUGAGUGACGGUAAUGGGUAAAGAAGCACCGGCUAACUACGUG
rnacentral:rRNA from 1 species